UUUCAAGCUGGAGAAACUCCACUCCACAGUUUUUUUUACAAUUUUGCACAUGCAUUCCGCUUUUGCUGUAGAAUAUUUUUAUGCAUUAAAAAUGUAGGGUCACAAGAUCACUUUUUGAGAUAUUAGCUUCGUGGAUAAGGUAUUUUAGCGCGAUUUCUAUGCACAAAUUAAAAUCUCGACUUUGCAAGAUCGCCCCUUGUGCACGUGUGAAGGUGGUCUGCUGAUCAGUAAAGCCUGCAAUUCUAUGCGAAUAAAUGCGAAUAGUCCAUAAAUAGUGUUUUCUUUGUCGCUGUUCUCAUUAGUAGCAUGAGUGGUAAAAGAAGAGUACCAUAAAUACCUGGAGGUGAGACUAGCCAGUACAAAGAACGAAGAAAACCUGAAGAGUAGUUUUUUCCUGCUGUUAGAUUGAUAGCCGGUGCGAUCGAUCUUAACAUCAACAUCACAAUUUUCGUUUACGUUCUGGCACAAAGGUUGAAGAAGAUGUUUUUUCCUUUGAAAAUGCCUGAAGGGUGGAUGUUUUCGAAGUUAAAAAUAACUGAUAAUGCAAACAGCUCACUAAACUUGGCAGAAACAAAGUUUUACAAAGUAGGCCUUGUGCCGCCAUGUUUGUUUUGAUUUUUGUAAACUUUAAACCUUGAGUGCUAUCUCGCGAACCCUUGGGUGAUCGUAUGAUGCCUCACGUUUUGAGCCACCUUAAGCUCAUAAUAUAUAACGGUAAAUUUCAGUCUUUUCACAGACCCUCUCAUUUGUUUUUGGGAAAGACAAAAAUAGAGGGUCUGUGGAUUCUUUUGAGAAACUGAAUUUUUCAUUUCUCCAGGUCUUAGGGUCUUUGUUUUCGUGUUUUGGGGUCCUUGAUCUUAGGUCUUUGUUUUUGGGGUCUUCGUUUUCUUCACUACUGUAUUGGUGGUGUGUCCAUUUACCUUGAAAAAUUUGGAAAAUUAAUAAAUACAAAUAUCCAAAAUUUUGUGAUUGCUCUUCACUAAAAGUUGAUUUCUUUAAUCGUGUCUAUAGUGCCUGGGCACAAGUUUUGUAAAUUCAUGAUCAAAAAGGUAACAAACAGAAUUCUUGCUAGACAAAAUGUACAUGUAAGUCCAUUAUAUGGCCGUGGAAUAAAAUUUGUUCAAUAGAACACUAAUAGAAUCAAAAAUAUCAUUCUGCUGGAUUGUUUGAAAUUAUUUUCAUUAUAAUGUGCAUUUCUUUACAUGUAUGUUUAAAUGUAGAUCUUGUCUCAUACUACAAAGCAGUUUGUAAGCCAGGAAGGGUCUUUAGCAAACUCCCAGGAACUCAUAAAACAGUCUGGAAAAAUCAUAGCAGACAUGGAAUCACAGUUUGCUGAUAUUCAACAUAGUAUGCAGACAGUUAACACUAUCAGUGAACACUUGGAGCCAAUAUGGAGAUGACACAAUGGACAA